rnacentral:rRNA from 1 species
UACGAAUAUCGCAUGAUAUUUUUAUUAAAGAAUUUCGGUUAUCGAUGGGGAUGCGUUCCAUUAGUUUGUUGGCGGGGUAACGGCCCACCAAGACUACGAUGGAUAGGGGUUCUGAGAGGAAGGUCCCCCACAUUGGAACUGAGACACGGUCCAAACUCCUACGGGAGGCAGCAGUGAGGAAUAUUGGUCAAUGGGCGAGAGCCUGAACCAGCCAAGUAGCGUGAAGGAUGAAGGCUCUAUGGGUCGUAAACUUCUUUUAUAUGGGAAUAAAGUUUUCCACGUGUGGAAUUUUGUAUGUACCAUAUGAAUAAGGAUCGGCUAACUCCGUGCCAGCAGCCGCGGUAAUACGGAGGAUCCGAGCGUUAUCCGGAUUUAUUGGGUUUAAAGGGAGCGUAGGUGGAUUGUUAAGUCAGUUGUGAAAGUUUGCGGCUCAACCGUAAAAUUGCAGUUGAAACUGGCAGUCUUGAGUACAGUAGAGGUGGGCGGAAUUCGUGGUGUAGCGGUGAAAUGCUUAGAUAUCACGAAGAACUCCGAUUGCGAAGGCAGCUCACUAGACUGUCACUGACACUGAUGCUCGAAAGUGUGGGUAUCAAACAGGAUUAGAUACCCUGGUAGUCCACACAGUAAACGAUGAAUACUCGCUGUUUGCGAUAUACAGUAAGCGGCCAAGCGAAAGCAUUAAGUAUUCCACCUGGGGAGUACGCCGGCAACGGUGAAACUCAAAGGAAUUGACGGGGGCCCGCACAAGCGGAGGAACAUGUGGUU